rnacentral:rRNA from 1 species
UGAUCCUGGCUCAGGACGAACGCUGGCGGCGUGCCUAACACAUGCAAGUCGAACGCUGAAGAGAGGAGCUUGCUCUUCUUGGAUGAGUUGGGAACGGGUGAGUAACGCGUAGGUAACCUGCCUUGUAGCGGGGGAUAACUAUUGGAAACGAUAGCUAAUACCGCAUAACAAUGGAUGACACAUGUCAUUUAUUUGAAAGGGGCAAUUGCUCCACUACAAGAUGGACCUGCGUUGUAUUAGCUAGUAGGUGAGGUAAUGGCUCACCUAGGCGACGAUACAUAGCCGACCUGAGAGGGUGAUCGGCCACACUGGGACUGAGACACGGCCCAGACUCCUACGGGAGGCAGCAGUAGGGAAUCUUCGGCAAUGGGGGCAACCCUGACCGAGCAACGCCGCGUGAGUGAAGAAGGUUUUCGGAUCGUAAAGCUCUGUUGUAAGUCAAGAACGGGUGUGAGAGUGGAAAGUUCACACUGUGACGGUAGCUUACCAGAAAGGGACGGCUAACUACGUGCCAGCAGCCGCGGUAAUACGUAGGUCCCGAGCGUUGUCCGGAUUUAUUGGGCGUAAAGCGAGCGCAGGCGGUUUGAUAAGUCUGAAGUUAAAGGCUGUGGCUCAACCAUAGUUCGCUUUGGAAACUGUCAAACUUGAGUGCAGAAGGGGAGAGUGGAAUUCCAUGUGUAGCGGUGAAAUGCGUAGAUAUAUGGAGGAACACCGGUGGCGAAAGCGGCUCUCUGGUCUGUAACUGACGCUGAGGCUCGAAAGCGUGGGGAGCGAACAGGAUUAGAUACCCUGGUAGUCCACGCCGUAAACG